rnacentral:lncRNA from 1 species
GAGAGUUGCUCGUUGAGAUUUUGUUGGGUAAAUACUCAAGCCAACCCCAAUUUUUGUUUCUGUUCAUGGGUUCUAGAUUGAGUCCUUGCAUAUCACACAUAGAAGUUGAUUUGGGAGCUGUAAACUUGAAGAAAGCUUGAGAAAGGUUAAUACAUGAAUGUCAAAGCUAGAAUAGAGGUUUAGAGACAAAAUUUCGUUCAUUUAGAAGAGGUUAGGAGAAUGGAGGUGUUGCUGUACUUUCUUCAUAAUGGGUGUUGUUUCUUCAUCUCUAGAAACCAACAAAACUGUUUUGAUUUCUCAACAAACACUAGAGCUGAUAGUUGUUGUUUUCAUUGCUGCUUCGGGAGUUCUGACAAAGCAAAUUUGGUUGAUUCGCCAUAACUGUGAGUUGAUAACGAUCAUUAUCGCAUAUUUUCCCUAUUAAUAUUAUUGAUAUUUUGAUAAUUUUAUAUGUUAAAGUGUUUAUAAAAAUGGGGAACACACCCUUUGAACUUUUUCUCCUCAAUGAUGCUCAUGUUUAAAGUCAUCGAUAUUAUUAUGGUCUUUGUUUGAAUUUAUCUAUGAUUUGUUGGGCCAAUGGUUGAAAUUGAGAUUUGGUUGCAUAUAUUAUGACAUGUGUUUUGGAGAUAUGGGAAAUACGGUUUGAAAAAUAUGUUUUUGAAAACUUUCGAUAUUAAUAUGCGCUCUAUUUGGAUUUGGAUUUUACUUGCGAUUUAUAAAGUAGAGGGAUUGAAAUGGAGAAUUUGAUUGUAUGUAUUUUCAUAGUAGUUUUGAUAUGUUGUGAAACGUGGUUUUGAAAUAUGCGUCUUUGAAAGGAUUCAAUAUUAAUUUGUACGCGAUUUGGAUUUAGAUUUGAAUUUGGAUUUACUUAUGAUUAUAAGUAGUGGAUUUUCGAUUGAGUUUUGAUGAUACGUAUUUUGAAAUAAGUUUUGUUAUGUUGUGAAAUAUGGUUUUAGCAUUGUGUUUUAAGAAUGGUGUUUUGAAAAUUAUGGUUAUAAUGACGACGACCUAGGUGCACC